GAGGAUGGGCGGAUGCGCGUACGGGCCGUGCAGCCAGCCGGCGGAGAUGCGGGCGUAGGCCGCCUCCGUGAGGUGGAUGCCGUCCCAGCUGAUGAACGCCGCCGGGUCCGGGCACGCUGCCGCGCCGGGGAGCCCGCACGCCGCCGUCGCGUCGUAGUUGUACGGCCCGCCGCCGGCGCCGCAGCACGCGCGUAGCGUCGACGAGCCGUUGAAUCCUGCAGCGUCAUCGAUCACCGGCUUGUAGUAGUCGGCGUAGACGAUCUUCACCCAAGGGUACCUGUGCCUCAGCCGCGACACCGCCUCGAACAGCGCCGAGUUGUGGUAGCGCGCGAGCGCGUUCUGCUUCUUCAGGCAGCCGCGCGCGUCGUAGUCGCCUCUGCUCUUGCUCGCGUACAGCGUCAGGAUGAUGGGCACGCAGCCGUUGGGCAGCUCCCCCGGCACCACCACGUAUCUCGCUCCUUCCUUUAUCACCGCCUGAAUGACAAUAUUAUUCAUGGCUUGGACGACUUUUGGCACGUAGGGGACAAGUUCCUCGAGGGUUUUUCCGGCGGCCAAGAUGAAGACGUAGUCGUUGCCACCAAACUCUCCCAUGAAGAAGAACAACAAAAAUACGUACCUUGGGCUGUUUGGCACAAGGUUGGCUUGAGCUUCUGGAACCACUCCAGCUGCACGCUCAGGGAGAUGUUCAACGGGGGCACGUUGGUGAUGUUGUUCUUGAGGAAGAAGGCGAGAUCAAGAGCGCUGGCACCGACGACGGCGAAGUUAGCGCCAUGGGUGAAGUUCUGACGACCUUGGCCAAGAAACGGUGGUACGAACGGCACAUGAAACUCGUCAGCUGCAAAUCCAUGAUGAUGCGGCCAUUGGUAGCACGGCCGGUGGGGUGGCCGAAGAAGGUCUCGCCGUAGGGGAGGUUGUUGAAAGGCAUGAUGGGAAGCAGCGGCGCGGCCAGCUCGACGAAGUUGCCGGUGUCGGCGAACGAGUUGCCGAAGCUGAAGACGGAGUCGAUCUU
rnacentral:sRNA from 1 species